CAAGAUUAUAAAUAGACUUAAAUAUCCAAAUAAUUUAAAUAUUUAUGGCUGCUUAAUGUAGAAUAAUGUAGUAAUUCCCCUUGAGCAGGGGAUGUUCUUUAGAUGGAGAAGUCAUACCCCCACUUCUGAAGAGCACACCUCUG